CAGCCGCCGCGGUAACACGAAGGGGGCUAGCGUUGCUCGGAAUUACUGGGCGUAAAGCGUGCGCAGGCGGUUUGUUAAGACAGAUGUGAAAUCCCCGGGCUCAACCUGGGAACUGCAUUUGUGACUGGCAAGCUAGAGUGUGGCAGAGGGGGGUGGAAUUCCGCGUGUAGCAGUGAAAUGCGCAGAGAUCUGGAGGAAUACCGGUGGCGAAGGCGGCCCCCUGGACAAAGACUGACGCUCAGGUGCGAAAGCGUGGGGAGCAAACAGGAUUAGAUACCCCUGUAGUCCCUGUCUCUUAUAC
rnacentral:rRNA from 1 species